rnacentral:lncRNA from 1 species
AAGAAGACACUCUUCAAAGACACAUACUUGAUCUUACUUAAAAGCUUCAAUCAAGUAAACACACACUCAUGCUUAAAAGCUUAGAGUGACAAAUUACAAUAAGAAUUACAAUGAAAAGAAGACACUCUUCAAAGACACAUACUUGAUCUUACUUAAAAGCUUCAAUCAAGUAAACACACACUCAUGCUUAAAAGCUUAGAGUGACAAAUUAC